GGCUAGACAGAUGACAGAAACUGCUGA
rnacentral:piRNA from 1 species